rnacentral:rRNA from 1 species
CCUACGGGCGGCUGCAGUGGGGAAUAUUGGACAAUGGGCGAAAGCCUGAUCCAGCCAUGCCGCGUGUGUGAAGAAGGCCUUCGGGUUGUAAAGCACUUUCAGUGGGGAAGAAAGCCUUGGGGCUAAUACCCUCGAGGAAGGACAUCACCCACAGAAGAAGCACCGGCUAACUCCGUGCCAGCAGCCGCGGUAAUACGGAGGGUGCGAGCGUUAAUCGGAAUUACUGGGCGUAAAGCGCGCGUAGGCGGUCUGAUAAGCCGGUUGUGAAAGCCCCGGGCUCAACCUGGGAACGGCAUCCGGAACUGUCAGGCUAGAGUGCAGGAGAGGAAGGUAGAAUUCCCGGUGUAGCGGUGAAAUGCGUAGAGAUCGGGAGGAAUACCAGUGGCGAAGGCGGCCUUCUGGACUGACACUGACGCUGAGGUGCGAAAGCAUGGGUAGCAAACAGGAUUAGAUACCCUAGUAGUC